AAGAGUGGAACCCCUGACCCGGUCAUGUCAUGUUUGUGCCAAGUACAACCCGUUCAUCCAUCAUUUAAAAUAAUUAAUUGCAUGGUGAUGAAGCUUGUGACCACACAAAAUUACGUACUUCUAUGGAUAUAGAAAGGAACAACCUCCAGUACAGACAGACUGACUGGUUUUCCCCUCUCUAGGGACUCCAUCGGGAAAGAGUUGGACAUGGGUACAGAGAGAGAGAUUGCAGAUGAUUGGAGGUUGCAAAGAUUCAUUUCUCAAUCUUUCUCAUCUUCCUUCCCAUUUGUUUGUGCUGGAUCUGGUUUUAAACCCUCACUGUUGCACCCCUUUACAUUGGACGAUGGUCAUGGACCUGGAUCUUCGGCAAUAUGAGUAUCUGGUGAUAUUUUCCCUUCUUUAAUCGGGGUUUAAUUGCUCUUUUUUCACAUUACUAAGAUAUCUGGGUCUAUGGGGGCCAUAUGUAUAUAUACGAUCAUCUUAUACUUUCGGUGAUUCAAUUUUUUAAUCCAUUGAUGUCUACUGUAUGAAUUGUUUUUUUUUUUUCAUUUCUUUUCAAUGGAGUUUGGUUCUCCCUCUACCAUUAUAUGAUAUAGUUAGUGGACUUGAGGGUGUAUAAGGGAUCCUAGUCUCAGAUAUAUUUUUUUUUUUGUUGGGGAUGGAUUAGUCUUUGGAUGGAUUAGUCUUUUUUCCAAAUCUUAUGUUGGCUUAUUCUAAUUACGUCCAUGCUUGCAUAAAAGUGCGGAGCAAUAUUGCAAACGUUAAGGUUACAAGAUCCUUCGGAGCUGUCAAAGUUACAAUAAAGGGAAAGCUUGACAUGUGACCCCACCCACAUAUAAAGUAUGUGAUCUUCCUCUCAGCUAUAUGAUUCGAGUAGAGUUGGCUCUUGGGUGUUAGAUGUUAAUAUGAUGUCUCAUAUUAUUUUUAUUUUAAAUAUUUAUUAGGGCCAUUUUAAAAUAUUGGGAAAAUUUUGUAUAGAACUCUAAUUUCUCUUAUUAUUUCAUGGUAGAUCCUCUUUCUGUUUUUCUUUCAAGCGGCAUACUAAAGAUUUCAUCAUACCCCUUCAUCUCUUAUCUCCUUCUAUUAUUGACUUUUGAUCAUAAAAAUUAGCCCCAACAAAUAUUUUUAUACUAUUUCAAUCCAAAAACUUUUUAAUUGGUAGAAAGGGAAAAGAGGGUUAAAAUUUUUUUGAGAUUAAAUGGUAUAAAAAUAUUUGUUGGAGCUAAUUUUUAUGGUAAAAAGUAAAUAAAAUAGGGAGAUAAGAGAUGAAGAGGUAUUGUAAAAUAUUUAGAGAUUUUCUUAUGCCGCUUGAAAGAAAAAAAUAAAGAGGGUCUGUUAUGAAAUAAUAUGAGGAAUUAGGGUUCUAUACGAAAUUUUCCCUUAAAUAUUUAGUAGUACCAUCAUGUAAAAGCCAGAUAAGCUGCAAGGUUAUCCCAGGAGGUAGAUCGACUAUCAUGUAAAGAUGAUGCAUGGUUCCCCACUCAUGUAAAGACUGCAAGGUUCCCCGCUAUGCACUCUACUAUUUAGCGGUCCAUUGUAACUUGGGCUUAUGCUUCUCUUAAGACUGCAAGGUUCCCCACUUUGCGCUUUGCUAUUCUACGGUCGAUUGUAACUUGGGCUUAUGCUUCUCUUCUGUUGACUGUGGUUCCUAAACUACUCUUCGUUUCUCAUGUCAAAUACUUUCUGGUUCUUAGGAACAAUCGUUCCAUGAUUCGUUGGGUAUGAAGGAAACCACCAGAACGCUGGUUCAAACUCAAUUUUGAUGGAAGUGUGAGGGAAGCACGGUUUGGUUUUUAUGGCCUCUUUCAAGAUGAUAUUUGUUAUAUGAGCUGAUCUUACUCUGGUAGCCUCCAUCCUUACGAGAUCAAUGAAACUAAGCUUUGGGCCCUUAAGAUGGGUAUGUCCCGCGUAGACCAAAUGCAUUAGAAAGUGAUUAUUGAAAGAGAUUGCUAAUGUUAUCUCGUGGUGUAUCUAGUCAGAUCUUGUUCCUUGGAGGCUUAGUGCGGUCACAGAUGAACUUCUUUUGACUCUGAGGGACCAUGAUCUCUCCUUUCUUCAUGUUCAUCGUGGUUCUAACAUUGACGCAUAAUCUUUAGCUAAGCUGACUGCUAUUCAUCUCUCUUCAUCUUAGCUUUUACUUAGAUGCCUUCUUCUCUUCUUUCCUUUUCUCUCUCUUUUUGUAUGCUUUUUUCUUUUCGCUUUCUUUUCUUAUUGUAAUCCUUCAUUAUCUUAAUGAAUAUCGCACUUACUCAAAAUAAAAAAAAGAUUGCAACGUUAUUUCAUGAGAGAGUUGACUACCCAACAUAGUGAUGCAAAUAAAAAUUAGAGUUUAUUUUUCUUUCUUUUUUUAAUUAGGGAUAGGAAGAGAUAAGUUUAGAGGGCCUGAUUGAG
rnacentral:lncRNA from 1 species